UGUACGUACGUCCAAAACUAAAACCGCAACUGUGAUCAUUUUUCACGCGGCUGUGGUAUUCAACUGGACUACAUUAAAAUCCAUGAUAUACUAUUCCUCUAAAGGAUAUCGGCUUGAAGAUAUGAACCUUUAUAAAGUCAAAAAUCAACAAGAGCAAAUA